rnacentral:rRNA from 1 species
AGUGAACGCUGGCGGCAGGCCUAAUACAUGCAAGUCGAACGGCAGCACAGUGGAGCUUGCUCCAUGGGUGGCGAGUGGCGGACGGGUGAGGAAUACAUGGGAAUCUGCCCAGUCGUGGGGGAUAACGUAGGGAAACUUACGCUAAUACCGCAUGCGCCCUUCGGGGAAAGGCCGGGGACCGUAAGGCCUGGCGCGAUUGGAUGAGCCCAUGUCGGAUUAGCUAGUUGGCGGGGUAACGGGCCCACCCAAGGCGACGAUCCGUAGCUGGUCUGAGAGGAUGAUCAGCCACACUGGAACUGAGACACGGUCCAGACUCCUACGGGAGGCAGCAGUAGGGAAUAUUGGACAAUGGGCGCAAGCCUGAUCCAGCCAUGCCGCGUGAGUGAAGAAGGCCCUCGGGUUGUAAAGCUCUUUUGUCCGGAAAGAAAAGCACUGGGUUAAUACCCCGGUGUCCUGACGGUACCGGAAGAAUAAGCACCGGCUA